AGUAAUGUCUGGGAAACUGCCUGAUGGAGGGGGAUAACUGCUGGAAACGGUAGCUAAUACCGCAUAACGUCGCAAGACCAAAGAGGGGGACCUUCGGGCCUCAUGCCAUCGGAUGUGCCCAGAUGGGAUUAGCUAGUAGGUGGGGUAACGGCUCACCUAGGCGACGAUCCCUAGCUGGUCUGAGAGGAUGACCAGCCACACUGGAACUGAGACACGGUCCAG
rnacentral:rRNA from 1 species